AGAGUUUGUUCCUGGCUCAGGAUGAACGCUAGCUACAGGCUUAACACAUGCAAGUCGAGGGGCAGCAUGAACUUAGCUUGCUAAGUUUGAUGGCGACCGGCGCACGGGUGAGUAACACGUAUCCAACCUGCCGAUGACUCGGGGAUAGCCUUUCGAAAGAAAGAUUAAUACCCGAUGGCAUAGUUCUUCCGCAUGGUAGAACUAUUAAAGAAUUUCGGUCAUCGAUGGGGAUGCGUUCCAUUAGGUUGUUGGCGGGGUAACGGCCCACCAAGCCUUCGAUGGAUAGGGGUUCUGAGAGGAAGGUCCCCCACAUUGGAACUGAGACACGGUCCAAACUCCUACGGGAGGCAGCAGUGAGGAAUAUUGGUCAAUGGACGAGAGUCUGAACCAGCCAAGUAGCGUGAAGGAUGACUGCCCUAUGGGUUGUAAACUUCUUUUAUACGGGAAUAAAGUGAGGCACGUGUGCCUUUUUGUAUGUACCGUAUGAAUAAGGAUCGGCUAACUCCGUGCCAGCAGCCGCGGUAAUACGGAGGAUCCGAGCGUUAUCCGGAUUUAUUGGGUUUAAAGGGAGCGUAGGCGGACGCUUAAGUCAGUUGUGAAAGUUUACGGCUCAACCGUAAAAUUGCAGUUGAUACUGGGUGUCUUGAGUACAGUAGAGGCAGGCGGAAUUCGUGGUGUAGCGGUGAAAUGCUUAGAUAUCACGAAGAACUCCGAUUGCGAAGGCAGCUUGCUGGACUGUAACUGACGCUGAUGCUCGAAAGUGUGGGUAUCAAACAGGAUUAGAUCCCCUGGUAGUCCACACAGUAAAAGAAGAAUACCCCCUGUUUCCAAAUACAGAAAGCGCCAACCAAAACCUUUAAUUUUUCCCCGGGGGAGUGGCGCCGGCAACGGUGAAACUCAAAGGAAUGACGGGGGGCCGGCACAAGCGGAGGAACAUGUGGUUUAAUUCGAUGAUACGGGAGGAACCUUACCCGGGCUUAAAUUGCAGAUGAAUUACGGUGAAAGCCGUAAGCCGCAAGGCAUCUGUGAAGGUGCUGCAUGGUUGUCGUCAGCUCGAGCCGUGAGGUGUCGGCUUAAGUGCCAUAACGAGCGCAACCCUUAUCGAUAGUUACCAUCAGGUGAUGCUGGGGACUCUGUCGAGACUGCCGUCGUAAGAUGUGAGGAAGGUGGGGAUGACGUCAAAUCAGCACGGCCCUUACGUCCGGGGCUACACACGUGUUACAAUGGGGGGUACAGAAGGCAGCUACACGGCGACGUGAUGCUAAUCCCGAAAGCCUCUCUCAGUUCGGAUUGGAGUCUGCAACCCGACUCCAUGAAGCUGGAUUCGCUAGUAAUCGCGCAUCAGCCACGGCGCGGUGAAUACGUUCCCGGGCCUUGCACACACCGCCCGUCA
rnacentral:rRNA from 1 species